rnacentral:rRNA from 1 species
CCCUUAGAUGUUCUGGGCCGCACACGCGCUACACUGAAGGAGGCAGCGUGUACUCCUGGAUCGAAAGAUUUGGGUAACCCGCGAAUCUCCUUCGUGCUAGGGAUUGAGGUUUGCAAUUAUCCUUCAUGAACGAGGAAUUCCCAGUAAGUGCAAGUCAUAAGCUUGCGCUGACUACGUCCCUGCCCUUUAUACACACCGCCCGUCGCUACUACCGAUUGAAUGAUUUAGUGAGGACUUCGGACUGGGACCGAUGCGGCUUUCGGGCUGCGUCGGUAUUCUGGAAAGAUGUCCAAACUGUAUCAUUUAGAGGAAGUAAAAGUCGUAACA